AUGGGGCCUACCUGGCAGUGAAAUCCCACAACAACUUUGUUUACAUCUAUGCUGUGACAGAGAAUGGCAGGAAGUACAGCCGUGCCGGGAAAUGCACGGGCCACUCCAGUUUUGUGACCCACUUGGACUGGUCCGCCGACA